GCCCGGGUAGGCAAACUGGCAAAGUCGGCCCUCUUAAAAAGGGCUGCCCCUGUGGCACUGUGGGUUCGAGUCCCACCCCGGGCA
rnacentral:tRNA from 1 species